rnacentral:lncRNA from 1 species
GCUGGGACAGAGCACCCGGACCCGCGGCAGCGGCGGCAGCGGCGCUCCCCACCCUCCACCGCAGCACUCAUCGAGCCAGGAAACCACCAAGCCACGGGCCCUCGGGACGCCUAAAGGAGCCUGUUUGUGUGCUGUGUGGCCACGUUCUGCUGUGACUGGAUCUUGUCUUCUGCCUGGCUCCUCGAUUUCCGUCCGGCUGGAUUUGGGGACAACACUGCCUGGCGCAGACAGAUCAAAUGACACUUCAAAGAAGCAUAAAAUGAACAGACUAUUCAAACAAAGGUAAUUUACAUUUUUUUAUUUGAUAAAACCUGACUGAUGUACAAAACGAAAAUAGAAUAUUGUUUACUGGAAAACAGGUCUACAAUCUCUCACACAUCUUCUCUUGCAACAGAUAGAAUUCCAGAAACAUCUAAGUUCCUCUGUGUACAGUUAUUUCUCCUGUAGGAGCCUUUGUAUGGAUGUAAUACACACAUAUAUGUAUAUGCAUAGAGCAUGACAUAAAUAAAACCUGCAAUAGCCUAUAAGAAAGAAGCUCCUAUUUAGAGGAAAGGGUAAGAUACUUUUAUUAUAAUGAAAGCCAGUUCACUUCAUCACUUGGACCAUGGACACUAAUGUAAAUAAAAUGGCUUAAAAAAUAAGACAAUAGUAGUAUUGACUGUAGACUACAAUUUGCACAUUUGUAAUUCUUAUAAAUGAAAUAUUUAAAAUGAUUUGGUGUUGGGCCAGUUCCUUAUGCAUUCUGCAUUCAUGUGUAUAGGAUUCAAAGACGUUCCAAAUAUUGAUCAUAAACCAAGUGUAUAUGAAUUAAUUAAAUAGCAUAUUUCUGGCCCAAAUAUGAGGAAAACCAUAACUUUUUACUGUAAAUCAGGAGAGAUUGUUUUAUCCCCAAAUAAACUAGGAUGUUUCAAGUCAUGUUUCAGCAAUUUGGAGACCUACAAACUAUCUGCAAGCAAGCACAACAACCAUACUCUAAUCUACUAGAUAGUAGUGAGAAUUUAGUGCUUGAAUUCAGGCUGCUUGAAUUCAGUAUAUCCUUCUCUAUGCUGAUUUUCAAGUAGAUAUUCUGUAGCUCAGCUAGAUAAUCUUUUAAAAGCAAAAAAAAAA